CACAAGCAUACAAGCAAACAUUUGAUCAUCUUUGAAACAGUACCCAUUAAUAAAGUUGAUAUUCUUGAACAAAACCACAGAGAAAUGAGCUUUUUCAGUCAUUUAUUCAACAGAAAUAUCAAUAGAUGUGAUAUUCUUCCGUGGAAAAAGUAAGUACACUCUUGGCCUCAGAAGCUCGUGUUGAACCUUUAGCAGAAAUAACGUCUUGUAGGCGUUUUGAAUAAUCGUCCACCAGGCUUGCUGGAAUUUUUGACCACUCUUCCAUGCAAUAUUCUUUCAGUUGCAAGAUGUUUGAGGGUUUUCUUGCAUGUACUGCCCGUUUCAAAUCCCCCCCACAACAUUUCAAUUUUGACUAGGCCAGUCGAUAACCCUCCAUUUCUUCUUUUUGAGCCAUUCUUUGGUGGAUUUGCAAGUGUGCUUAGGAUCAUCAUCCUGUUGAAAGGUCCAAUUUUGGUUUGGUUCAACUUUCAGACAGAUGGCCUCAUUAUCUUCAAGCACUCUUUGAUAUUAUGCUGAAUUCAUAAUUGAAUUAAUGAAUCUGCUGUACAGACCCCGAGGCAGUGAAGCAACCCCAAACCAUAACAUUCCCUCCACCGUGCUUCACAAUUUAUGUGAGGUGCUUCUCCAGAAAAGCUGUCUUUGGUCAGUGCCAAACAUGUCUGCUGUUACUGUGACUAAACACCUCUAUCUGCAUCUAUCCAGAGCACAUUAUUCCAAAAGGCCUGUUCUUUGUCUAUAGGCUCAUUGGCAAACUGUUUUAAACUUUUUCCUUGCACGCCUCCCAUGCAGGUCAGAUUUCACAAAUCUCUUUCUGAUUGUAAAAGCAUGCACUUUGACACCAACAGUUACCAACAAGACAAGCAGAUCCUCUAAUGAAAUUUGGGGAUUCUUGCAGACUUCAUUUUGCAUCUGACGGUCUGCUCUUGGGCUGAAUUUGCUGGGACGGCCAGUCCUGGACAAAUUGGCAGUCGUUUAAAAUCUGUCACUUGUAGAUGAUUUUCCUUAUAGUAUUUCAAAUAAUUCUGAGAUCUUUUAAAUCCCUUGCAAGACUUAUUGGCAUCCACAAAAUUUUUUCUGAAGGCCUUAUAAAACGCUUGUAGACCUUGGCAUGAUGACAUCACACACCUCAAUAACAAAGGGAACACCAGACACUAGAUAUGAGAGGGGUAUAAAUAAGACCGGUUAUUCUAAUUUAUGGAUUUAAAGGUGUAAUGUAGGGAUUUACUUACUUUUUCCAUGUGACUGAUCUGUUUUUUUUGUUAAUUUAAAUUGUGAGAUUGUUAAUAAAUUGUUAAUUUAAAUUGUUUUAUAGAGUGUAUCACCUUUAUUAAUAAGCAUUGUUUAUAGAGGAAUAUGUCAAAAAAGCCAACAAUUUCCAAGGAGUGUCCUUGUGUGUGUGUGUGUGUGUGUGUGUGUGUGUGUGUGUGUGUGUGCGCAUGCAUGUGUGUCUCAGUGCACAAAGUGCUAAGAGUGGCCAGGGAAAAAUUCCACUUGAUUGACCUGCAAAAUGCCAACACCAAUUAUGAGUCUACUCUUUCACUAUUACUACAAAUGUUCAGCUUUAAAGUGGAAAUUGUGUCUCAUUUUUGCAGCUGACAUUUUGUUUCUCCUUCAUGUGUUAUAGGAUGUUACCCAAUACCUAUUUCUGUCAACAAUGUGUCCUUCUCCGUGAUCAGUAAUUGCUUUUUAAGAAAACAGACUAAGAACAACUUACACAGUGACUUGGAGUAAUGUAUUGUGUGAUCAUUGAUAUGGUGAAUUUUCUUUGAGAUGUUUAUUAUUGGAAGCAGUUACCAGUGUCAGCGCUUUGUUUUCCAACAAGAUGAAGUCUUCAGGACUUUACACUAUCCAGUUUCUUGAUAACAUGACAAUCAAGUAUGCUUUUUUUGUCUUAUUAACGUCAAGAGACAGACAAAGAGAGGCUGGUGAGGGAAUGACUGUUUAUAGCUGUUAUACUGUGCAUAAUAAUGGGGGGCAGUGGUGGCUUGAGGGUUAAGGCUCUGGGUUACUGAUCAGAAGUUCGGUUUCAAGCUCCAGCAGUGCCAGGCUCUGGGUUACUGAUCAGAAGGACGGGGGUUCAAGCUCCAGCACUGCCAGGCUCUGGGUUACUGAUCGGAAGGACGGGGGUUCAAGCUCCAGCAGUGCCAGGCUCUGGGUUACUGAUCAGUUAGGUAGGGGGUUCAAGCUCCAGCAGUGCCAGGCUCUGGGUUACUGAUCGGAAAGUCGGGGGUUCAAGCUCCAGCACUGUCAGGCUCUGGGUUACUGAUCGGAAGGACGGGGGUUCAAGCUCCAGCACUGCCAGGCUCUGGGUUACUGAUCAGUUAGGUAGGGGGUUCAAGCUCCAGCACUGCCAGGCUCUGGGUUACUGAUGGGAAGGUCUGGGGUUCAAGCUCCAGCACUGCCCGGCUGCCACUGUUGGGCCCUUGAGCAAGGCCCUUAACCCUCUCUGCUCCAGGGGCGCUGUAUCAUGGCUGACCCUGCACUCUGACCCGAACUUCCUGACAUGCUGGGGUAUGCAAAGAAAAGAAUUUCACUGUGCUAUAAUGUAUACGCGACCAAUAAAAGACUCAUUACUCAUUCUCAUUAACAUAUUGGUGGAUGUUCCACAAAACUGUAAAUGAAUAAAAAGUACUAUUGUAUCUUUAAUGAAUACAAAUUGGAAUUGUUGGCAAAUUCCUGUUGUAUAAGAGGAAAAAACACUACAGUUGUUAUGCUGUUGGAAAAUAAGCAUUUUUGCUGUGGUCACAAAUCACAUGCAUUGAUUUUUUGUUCAUGUACCCUGUAAUGUUUUUUUUUUUUUUUCUUACAUACUAAAUGUUUUUAAGAUAAUCUGUUUGCCCAUGUUGUUAUGGAAGCUUAAAAGAGAGAAUAAUUUUGAGAGAAUAAUACCAUCUCUUAAUGGCAUUUUGAGGUCAAGGCACGAAAAAGCGAGGGCUAAUAACUGGCCAUUAGACUAACAUGCACAUUCAAUUAAAUAGUUUUUCCAGAGUUGAUGGAACUGAUGGUCUUCACCAACUUUUGCCACUGACAGAUGAUUAUAACAUGGGGUUUCAUGUGUAGAAUUUCCAAUGAGGGAAAACUACAUUAAGCGUGUAAAGAGUACACUGAGCUGAGCAAGAUCCUGCUAAGUAGUAUUCGGAUAACAUUCCUGGACAUGUGUAUGUUAAGUAAUCUUGCUGGAGGACAUCUGGAGUAAUUAUGACAGUAUAAAUUACAGAGAUGGGAGAAUCCUCACGAUGUGUGCAUGGUCAUCACACCAAACGUCUCAUACAGAAGAUGUAUAUGUUAAUGCAAACUGAUUGAUUUGGCCUUCACUGUAAGCGCUUGUUAUAGACCGCUGGUGACCAUGUGUUUGAUCAAGGUUGUAUGCCUGUAGGCUAUGGCUGUGCUAGGAACCUAAUUAUGUACAACUGCCCAGAAGUGUUGCUUUUCUGACAAGUCCUUUUAAAUGUCGUCCAUGUUUUAUUGUUCUGCGUUUUAAACUUGGCCAGUAAGUAGUUUUGUCGGUAGAUGAAAGAAAAGAAUGCUUCUUUUCUUUUUUUUCUUGUCGUGUCUCCAUACUGAAGAAACUGCAUGAAGGCUCUUUUUCCACGUAUAUAAUGCCCCAUUAUAAAAGGGUGUGCACACUUUUAUGCAACCAAGUUUUUUCCUUUUUCUUUUUCCCUGUAAAACGUUUCUAUUUGUUUUUCACUUGAAUACAGCUGCUUGCUAUAUCACAUUAAAGGUUAAAAAAUAUCUGACAUGAUUUAUCUAGGUUUUAUUUAUUUAUUUAUUUUUACAUCAGGAAAACCUACAAGUUUAACAGGAGUGUGUAGACUUUUUAUAUUCACUGUAUGUAUAAAAAGGGAGCCAUAAUCUCCUGGGUUUUUCCCUAUCCUAUUAUUGUCAGAUGUAACAGCUUUCUGAAACACUGAGUGACACGUUUUAGAAUGUAAUGCACACAGGGGACAAAAAUGGACAGAGUACGUUCAAGGACAAAAGACAUGUGCAAGGUUUGAAACUAACAGUAAUGUCACGUAAGGAGAGCGAAGACGGAUGCAAUUGCAGUAAAAGCUUUUAUUAAGAGACGCAGGCAGAUAAAUACAAAACGUGAUGCAAAGUCGAAAUCCAAGAACAGGCAGAGGUCAGGUGCUCAAAGGUGCUCUGGCAAAACCAGAAUCACAAAAACACAAGGGAAAGGCAGGAUCAAAAACCAUGAAACAAAGAACGAUGGACAAACGGUUUGGUACAGAUAAACCGGCAAAGCACUGAAACAAUACUUCGCCACGUAAUACAGAAACAUACAAACUAAUCAAAGUGGGAAACAGAAACAGCUGUGGGCAGUGAUGACACAAGGGUAACAACCAAUCACAAAACAGGGGUGGAGACAGGACAGAAACCAAAACAAAACCUACACGGCAAAGUAAACAAUUCCCGUCAACCCGGAAGUGUGCUGAGGGGGAAAAUACCUGAGAGUCUUGUCGGCCUCAGACUUCAGUAACACUUGGUAGGUCAGCUCGUCGACCUCUGGCUUGAGCAUGUCGUGGAAAGCCGUGAUGUUAGUCUCUGGCGUGAGCAUGGCUUGGGAGGUCGCAUAGUCAGCCUCAGACAGGAGCAGGAUGGGUGAGGCCAUCUCGUUGGCCUCAGGUGGGGCCGGGGGGAUUUAGCAGACGCUUUUAUCCAAAGUGACUUACAGUUGAGGAAAUACAAGUAGUGCUACCAUACAAGAUUUUUAUUUGAGUGCUAGAGCAGUUCGCAGAAUAGAAGUGUAAGACCCAGUGUAAGUGCAGCUUGAUUGAUUGAUUGAUUGAUUGAUUGAUUUUUUGAGUGGAGACAAAUUAGAGGUUAGUUGAGUGUUCAUGGAAGAGGUGGGUCUUGAGUCUUGAAUUUUUUGAAGACAGUGACAGAUUCUGCGAUCCGGAUUGAGGAUGGAAAUUCAUUCCACCACUGACGGACAGUCAUUUUGAAGGUUCUGCAAAGGGACCGCAUGUCUUGCUGAGUAGGCACUACCAGGUGUCAAUGCAGAGAUUUGAACGCUGGUUACGGAUCUAACCCUGGUUCUGUGAAUUCCGGAUGACUGCCAGAGAAGGUGCCACAGUAGUGGAUGAUCGCAUUCAGCCAGAUAGGUCGAGAAAAUAAAUACAAAUGAAGUCACGUAGUGACGUGAGCUGAGCAGAGGUGAUCUAAGCCACUGCAGCUUAGCGUCUUCUC
ensembl:lncRNA